rnacentral:rRNA from 1 species
ACGGGAGGCAGCAGUGAGGAAUAUUGGUCAAUGGACGGAAGUCUGAACCAGCCAAGUCGCGUGAAGGAUGAAGGUUCUAUGGAUUGUAAACUUCUUUUGCCCGAGGGUAAAGUGAUCUACGUGUAGGUUAUUGCAAGUAUCGGGUGAAUAAGCAUCGGCUAACUCCGUGCCAGCAGCCGCGGUAAUACGGAGGAUGCGAGCGUUAUCCGGAUUUAUUGGGUUUAAAGGGUGCGUAGGCGGUUUGUUAAGUCAGUGGUAAAAGCGUGUGGCUCAACCAUACCGAGCCAUUGAAACUGGCGAACUUGAGUGUAAACGAGGUAGGCGGAAUAUGACAUGUAGCGGUGAAAUGCUUAGAUAUGUCAUAGAACUCCGAUUGCGAAGGCAGCUUACCAGCAUACAACUGACGCUGAGGCACGAAAGCGUGGGUAUCAAACAGGAUUAGAUACCCUGGUA